GAUGAACGCUGGCGGCGUGCCUAAUACAUGCAAGUAGAACGCUGAAGGAGGAGCUUGCUCUUCUGGAUGAGUUGCGAACGGGUGAGUAACGCGUAGGUAACCUGCCUGGUAGCGGGGGAUAACUAUUGGAAACGAUAGCUAAUACCGCAUGACAACAGUUAUUGCAUGAUAACUGUUUAAAAGGGGCAACUGCUCCACUACCAGAUGGACCUGCGUUGUAUUAGCUAGUUGGUGAGGUAACGGCUCACCAAGGCGACGAUACAUAGCCGACCUGAGAGGGUGAUCGGCCACACUGGGACUGAGACACGGCCCAGACUCCUACGGGAGGCAGCAGUAGGGAAUCUUCGGCAAUGGACGGAGUCUGACCGAGCAACGCCGCGUGAGUGAAGAAGGUUUUCGGAUCGUAAAGCUCUGUUGUAAGAGAAGAACGAGUGUGAGAGUGGAAAGUUCACACUGUGACGGUAUCUUACCAGAAAGGGACGGCUAACUACGUG
rnacentral:rRNA from 1 species